rnacentral:tRNA from 1 species
GGAUUGUGACUCAGUGGUAGAGUGCUUGCCUAGCAUGCAUAAGGCACUGGGUUGGAUCCUCAGCACCA